GCAUAUGGCCAUACCACCCUGAACAUGCCUUCAGAAGCUAAGCAGGGUUGGGCCUGGUUAGUACUUGGAUGGGAGACUGCCUGAGAAUACCGGGAGCUAUAGGCU
ensembl:rRNA 5S_rRNA 5S ribosomal RNA